GCAAAGCUAAUGUUUGUCACCCAGAAAAAGUACUCACGUCGUCCCCAAAAUGAGAUUAGACUUUCAAGAUCAGUCUGUAAAAUCUCAUGAAGUAUCCAUCUAAACCAUUAAUCAUGUAAAAGUUGAACUUUUCUUAAAACUUUGAAUUCAAGCAUGAAAAGCACCUUGCUGCUAGUGAAGGAUUCUAAUUAGUCCAGUAACUAAUGCAUUUCAAAUCUCAACAUAUAUAAAUCAAUUACAUUUGGACCCUCAAACAUUUCCCUCGUCAAUAUGCACAACCUAUACUGAAAUUCAGCAAUUAACAACACAAAAAUUUUAAACAAUUACCAUUUCAGUUUCCUUAUUCUCUCCAAAGCCAGUAAAUAACUGAAAAAAAUUCAAAAACAAACAUACAAAAUUGAAACAGUUCAAUUAAAUCAUUCUAUUAAACAAACCAAUUUAUAACUGAGACAGUGGGCUUAGACAGAGAAUUGCGUGAUAUGAGAC
rnacentral:lncRNA from 1 species